GACAUGAGGCCAUUGCAUUUUUAAAAAAAAAUUUCAUACAUUUUAAGAAAUUGCAGCUUUUGUAUCACUACCCCACUUUUCCAUGAGCGGGGUCAAAAAUGACCCCAAACAUUUCCUAUGGAAUCUCAGGGCUUAACUCUAGGAACCUUUGAUACUUAUCAACUGUGAUUGUCAGUAUACAUUUACUGUUGCACUUACACAUCUGAUGCUGCAGUCUCACCACCCAGGAGGUCAUUUUUACACAGCAACAUUCAAACAGACAAACGGACACACAAUGUAUUUUGACAUUUUUUGAUUUUUGAUUGAUUGUUUUGUAAUGAAAUGUGAAUAAAAAGUAAUAAAUGAACAUGUCAAAAAUGAAA